rnacentral:rRNA from 1 species
CGCAGCCGCGGUAAUUCCAGCUCCAAUAGCGUAUAUUAAAGUUGUUGCAGUUAAAAAGCUCGUAGUUGAAUUUCGGGGUCAGUAGGUCGGUCGUGCCACUGGUAUGAACUGGUUUUACUGAUUCCUCCCUCUUGAAGAACUGUAAUGCCAUUAAUUUGGUGUUGCAGGGAAUCAGGACUGUUACUUUGAAAAAAUUAGAGUGUUUAAAGCAGGCUUUAGCUUGAAUACAUUAGCAUGGAAUAAUGAAAUAGGACGUUUGAUCCUAUUUUGUUGGUUUCUAGGAUUGACGUAAUGAUUAAUAGGGAUAGUUGGGGGCAUUAGUAUUCAAUUGUCAGAGGUGAAAUUCUUGGAUUUAUUGAAGACUAACUACUGCGAAAGCAUUUGCCAAGGAUGUUUUCAUUAAUCAAGAACGAAAGUUAGGGGAUCGAAGACGAUCAGAUACCGUCGUAGUCUUAACCAUAAACUAUGCCGACUAGGGAUCGGAUGAUGUUAAUUUUUUAAUGACUCAUUCGGCGCCUUA